UACGUAGGAGGCGAGCGUUGUCCGGAAUCACUGGGUGUAAAGCGCGUGUAGGCGGCCUGCCAAGUCUGCUGUGAAAGCGCCUGGCUUAACCGGGCGAGGUCGGUGGAAACUGGCGGGCUGGAGGACGGUAGAGGGGGGUGGAAUUCCCGGUGUAGUGGUGAAAUGCGUAGAUAUUGGGAGGGACACCAGUGGCGAAGGCGGCUCACUGGACCGGAACUGACGCUGAGGCGCGAAAGCGUGGGGAGCAAACAGG
rnacentral:rRNA from 1 species